GACAGAGGGUGCAAACGUUGUUCGGAAUUACUGGGCGUAAAGCGCGUGUAGGCAGCUCGGAAAGUCGGGUGUGAAAGCCCUGGGCUCAACCUAGGAAGUGCACUCGAAACUUCCGAGCUGGAGUGCUGGAGAGGAAGGCGGAAUUCUCGGUGUAGAGGUGAAAUUCGUAGAUAUCGAGAGGAACACCGGUGGCGAAGGCGGCCUUCUGGACAGUCACUGACGCUGAGACGCGAAAGCGUGGGGAG
rnacentral:rRNA from 1 species